rnacentral:rRNA from 1 species
CGCGGCCUAUCAGCUUGUUGGUGGGGUAACGGCCUACCAAGGCGUCGACGGGUAGCUGGUCUGAGAGGACGAUCAGCCACACUGGGACUGAGACACGGCCCAGACUCCUACGGGAGGCAGCAGUAGGGAAUCUUGCGCAAUGGGCGAAAGCCUGACGCAGCAACGCCGCGUGCGGGAAGAAGGCUUUCAGGUCGUAAACUCCUUUCGCCAAGGACGAAGCGUUUUGUGACGGUACUUGGAGAAGAAGCACCGGCUAACUACGUGCCAGCAGCCGCGGUAAUACGUAGGGUGCGAGCGUUGUCCGGAAUUACUGGGCGUAAAGAGCUCGUAGGUGGUUUGUCGCGUCGUUUGUGGAAUACCGGGGCUUAACUUCGGGGUUGCAGGCGAUACGGGCAUAACUUGAGUGCUGUAGGGGAGACUGGAAUUCCUGGUGUAGCGGUGAAAUGCGCAGAUAUCAGGAGGAACACCGAUGGCGAAGGCAGGUCUCUGGGCAGUAACUGACGCUGAGGAGCGAAAGCAUGGGGAGCGAACAGGAUUAGAUACGGUGGUAGUCCAUGCCAUAAACGGUGGGCGCUAGGUGUGAGUCCCUUCCACGGGGUUCGUGCCGUAGGUAACGCAGUAAGCGCCCCGCCUGGGGAGUACGG